rnacentral:lncRNA from 1 species
CUGACCGUGCCUGUGAACACGUUUGAAGUUGCGGCGUUCCCAUUUUGUACAAGGGUUUAAAAGAGCGCCACCACCAUUUUCAUGAGCUUGGGAUGGUUGUUUCUGACAUCUGCACAGUUAUUUCAAGAAGCCAAGAGAGUUAGAAACUGUGAAGAUUGACAGCAGGCACAGAGACAGAUGAACUACUUAAGCAUCAAAUCAAACAAGAGGCAAAGCCCCAUUUCCUGAGCUGGGAAAUCCACCUACUAGAGAAGACAGAGGAUUUACAGGAAAGAGGCUACACGUCUAUUAAAACACAUCUGUCUCCAUUUGAAAUAUAAUCAUUUGAAGCUGAUGGCGAUAGAAGAGCCAGAAAAUAACUUUUAUGAAAUAGUGGUCUCAUUGCCAUGUACUAAAAAUACCACCAUCAAAAGCUUAGAUACAACGCCUUGGAGUUACAUACACUAUAAAAGGCAAAAACCGGGAAAGGCAUUGUAUGGCAAAUAUGUUUUAGAGUUGGUAAAGGAAGCUCAGCAAAGCAAGAUGACAAGGAACGCGAACCUCCGUUUCCACAUGGGCUGUGGAAAGUUCUGGUGGUGUACAGG